AGACGUAAUUUCAGGUACCAUGAACCUGUGAGGGAGACACUUUUAAUUAAAAGAGCAAGUGGUCCUUUCCAGAGUUGCCUAAGUCAUACCACAAGCAACCUGUCAGGUCCCGUGCAGGCAGUCUAGGGAUUGCAGUAAUCCAAUCCCUAGAUUGGCUGCAUUCUUGAUAAACGCUCAUGUAGAGAAAUGGUCAGAAGGAACGACACCACAGAAGAAAUUAGAAUGUUUAAAAGAACCAGGAAAAACAUCUGUAGAAUCUAAAGUACCUACCCAGAUGGAAAAAUCUACAGACACAGACGAGGACAAUGUAACCAGAACAGAAUAUAGUGACAAAACCACCCAGUUUCCAUCAGUUUAUGCUGUGCCAGGCACUGAGCAAACGGAAGCAGUUGGUGGUCUUUCUUCCAAACCAGCCACC
rnacentral:lncRNA from 10 species